UACUUUUUUUUGUAGUUUGCAGAAGGCGCUUUGAAUUUAGGGGGAAAUUUCAAUUAUCAUAUUGAUGUGGAUGCAGAUUUGACCCCUGAUGCUUGUAUCUCGUCUAGUUACGGCUAUGACCCAAUGAAGAUUAGUUUGGAAGCAAACUAUCGGGUUCUCAAUCCUUUCACUGAUACCUCCCUGUGGGAAGGCACCUGGCGUCCCCAGUUCCUCAGCUGGACACUAAAAGACGGUUCAAACCACCCUUGGUUAUCACGUGACUGUCUUGCUUUGGAUGUCGUCAAUUAAUUACUCGAAAAACUUCUUUUUUUUAUAUAUAUAUAUAAUCACAACCUGCAUUUUAUACAAUCACAACCAGCCUUUUAAUUCUGUACUUUAACAAACCUGAUCGAUCUUUACCAAAGAACUAAGCUGUUUAUAGAUAAUGAUAAACAAAGGUUUUACAUUUAAUUUGGUGCUAGGGAAGCUAUGUAUGAAGGCUGUUAAUAUCAUUCGUUUUGUGUAAAGAACUCUUAUAAUAAAACCAGUUUUGUGUAUCA